rnacentral:misc_RNA from 1 species
ACCACCACCACCACCACCACCACCACCACCACCACCACCACCACCAUUGUGAGGGGCCCCAGCCACAUAGUAGGCAGCCCCCGGUCACCACCACCGCGGCAUGUCAUCACCAGCCAGCCCAGAGCGAGGGAGGGUCACCAAUACACCAGGAUGAGAGAGAGCACCACCACCACCACCUCCACCACCACCACCACCACCACCACGAUAAAGGAAGAGAUUACUGGCAUCACCACAAACACCACAGCUGCCCUCACCUCUUUCAUCACCUCUGCAAACUCACACAAUUGCCGAUCAGGUCACAACACCACACACUCUCAGGAAGCAGGAGUCACCACCACGAAUCACCACUCUAGAAGUCUACACCAGCGCUCAAUCACCACCACAAGCUUGCAAAACCACCCAGUCACCACCGCAUCACCACCCAGAGGACCCCAGCCACUCCCGAUCACCACCAGACACCACCAGGAUCUCUCAUUGCUCCCUACCCCCUCCCAAGGUCACGUGACAGCCCUCCCCAGCUUCGGCCUGUCCUUUCCUCCAACUUUGACUGAUAGGAUCCUUCAAGAAGCUGCUCUGCGCCAGGCCAGCGUGACACAGUGCGUGGGGGCGGUGAUGACAGCAGCGACUGGCGGGGAUUUCGUCACCAACAUGCCCACAGGAACCACCCGGGACAGCGGUAGUGGUAGUGGUGAUUACAACUCCUCCCCCUCCCCAUCCACGACCUCCUCGGAUGGUGGGGGGCCUGGAGGAGGGGCUGGAGGGGUGUCUGGGGCUACCUCCGCGUCUCCUCCUCCCCCUCCGUCACCCCUGCUUACAAUUGUCCCAGCUUUACACCCCAGUUCGCCUCGAGCUGAUAGUGCAUCACCCUCCUGCCCUCCCAGUGAUGGUUUGGGAGUAACAGCUCACAUCACUGCACAGGUGAUGGUGACAACGGGCUCCAGUGCUAGUGAAGGUGGUGAUGGUGGUGGUGAGGGAGCCCUGUCCUCCACCUCCUCCUCCUCCUCCCCCUCCGUCUCCCUCACCAAAGGCACCAUCAUUCCCCCGGACUCCCUCAUCAUCAGCACAGAGGGUAGCUCAGCGCGUUCCUACACCUCCCUUACCCCUGUUACUCCCAGCAUAGUGUCGGAGGGUGAUGGGUCGCUGGACUCGAGUGGUGGGACAGUAGCCAUUCACAGCUCUUACGUGCAGUAUGUUGAUGCCUCCCCUGACCCUCUGUUUCCAGCCAAUAAUGCCCAGAUGGCCUACCCAGUGUACACCGUGGGCGACACAACACUGUACUCCUCCUCCUCCAACACCUACUACCAGCCGGGCCCCACCACUCCUGUCUCCUACUCCCAAGAGGUAGCCAGCAGCCCAGUGAGCGGCCAAAUUCUGUCGUCCAACACCAAUACGUACGUGAUCCAGCCAGCCAUUGACACAGACGCCCAGCCACUCAUCACCACGCGCGGCUCACCACAGACCAAUUUCAGAGAGGAACCCACGACUCCAAGAUCUCGGCAUGAAGAGGAGGACGGGGUGGCAUAUGUGGUGAGUGGAGGCAGCCCCCCCCUCGAUGCUGAUGCCCAGGCUAACCUUGCUCAUGCCACUAGAGUCUCGCCCGCCACGGUCCAGUGGUUAAUGGACAACUAUGAGACAGCGGAGGGGGUCAGUUUGCCGCGCUCCACCCUCUACAACCACUACCUCCGCCACUGUGCCGACCACAAGCUGGAUCCUGUCAACGCUGCGUCCUUCGGAAAAUUAAUUCGAAGUGUUUUCCUCGGACUGCGAACUCGGCGCCUCGGGACUAGAGGCAACAGCAAGUACCACUACUACGGCAUCAGGAUCAAACCAACGUCACCAUUAAUCAACGUGAAUGAUGACGGUUCACCCAUUACCGUGCGUCACCAGGGCUCUUGUAACACCCUCAAGAAAUCAGGCCAGUCGUCUUUACCACAGCAGACCACACAGCAGACUUCACAGCCGCACCAGUCCCCAGGAGGCCAGAAGAACGCACAGUCUAGCCCCUCAAAAGCUCAAGACACACAUUAUGACUCCCACACUCAAGUCUCGGCUGAAACGUCCCCUAUGAUACUACAAAACCAACAGUAUUUGGGAGAUGUGAGCCAAGCAGUGCCCAUGUUUGAGGAGGUCGAUUUUGGUCCUGGGCCCCUCCCUGCUGGCGUCACCAGAGCCCACCUUGACACCUUCACUAGUCUGUAUAGAGAGCACUGUGAGACAAUCCUGGAUGCUAUUUACAACUUGCAGUUUUCGUCAGUGGAGACUCUGUGGAAACGCUUCUGGCUGGUGAACAACAACAACACAAGCAAGAGUGCCGGAAGUGAGCUGUCAGAUGAUGAGGAGGGUGACUUGGCUUCUCUCCUGCCCUCUUCUGUACUGCAGGCACUCCUAAGAUCACCACCAGUGCUCGAAUACAUCAGGAACUUCGACUACCAGUUCUACCAAAACUUAGUGGAGGUUUUGAUCCCUGACGUGCUGAGAUCCAUUCCCUCUAGUUUGACUCAAGCCAUUCGCAACUUUGCCAAGAGUCUGGAGUCUUGGCUGUACAGUGCCAUGCUGGGCUGCCCUCAGGAGCUGGUCACUAUCAAGGUGAUCGCCGUGGCAUCGCUGGCCCAGACUCUCCGGCGGUACACCUCCCUGAACCAUCUAGCACAGGCUGCCAGGGCCGUGCUGCAGAACUCGGCCCAGAUUUCACAGAUGCUGGCUGACUUGAAUAGGGUUGACUUUCAUAAUGUACAGGAGCAGGCGUCGUGGGUGUGCCAGUGUGACGUGAACUUGGUGAGGCGCCUGGAGGAGGACUUCAAGGCAACACUUCAGCAGCAGAACAGCCUGGAGCAGUGGGCUGAGUGGCUGCAGGCUGUGGUGGGUCAGGUUCUGCGUCCCCAUGAUGGCAAGCCAGAUUUCCCCAAGCAAGCCAGGCAGUUUCUGUUGAAGUGGUCAUUUUAUAGCUCGAUGGUGAUUCGUGACCUGACCCUCCGCAGUGCAGCUUCUUUUGGGUCCUUCCACCUGAUCCGCUUGCUGUAUGACGAGUAUAUGUUUUACUUGGUGGAGCAUAGAGUAGCGUCUUCUCUUGGUCUUACCCCCGUUGCUGUCAUCUCCCAGGGGCUGGGCGGGACGAGCAAGGCAGCUUCAGACGCCAACAACUUCAUCAACGGUGACAUCCCGGGCUACCGUGUAGAGGAUUCAGUGUUGCCAGCUUUCAAACGCCUCAAAUACGAGACAUCCUAACUCCCCUUACCCCCAUGUCCCCUUCCCACAUCCCCCUCCUGUUUCUCCAGCACCCACUCCCUCCCCUCCUUUUUCCACCCUCCCCUUUUACCCAGGCACAAAACGGAAGGCGUCUCCCCAGUGGACAUCCUCCCCAUUAUUUCCUUCCCCGCCAAACCCAGGUGUGCCCCGGCCUGCCCACGCCAUGAAGCACCCGGGCACCCAGGCACAGAGGGAAGGUGUGUGUGUGUGUGUGUGUGUGUGUGUGUGUGUGUGUGUGUGUGUGUGUGUGUGUGUGUGUGUGU